rnacentral:rRNA from 1 species
CAGCCGUAAACAAUGUGCGUUAGGUGUGUCGGUAACCACGUGUUACUGAUGCGCCGAAGAGAAAUCGUGAAACGCACCACCUGGGAAGUACGGUCGCAAGGCUGAAACUUAAAGGAAUUGGCGGGGGAGCACCACAACAGGUGGAGCCUGCGGUUUAAUUGGAUUCAACGCCGGACAUCUCACCGGAUAAGACAGCUGAAUGAUUGUCAAUCUGAAGGUUUUACAUGACUAGCUGAGAGGAGGUGCAUGGCGUAGACGU